rnacentral:rRNA from 2 species
AGAGUUUGAUCAUGGCUCAGAUUGAACGCUGGCGGCAGGCCUAACACAUGCAAGUCGAGCGGUAGCACAGAGAGCUUGCUCUCGGGUGACGAGCGGCGGACGGGUGAGUAAUGUCUGGGAAACUGCCUGAUGGAGGGGGAUAACUACUGGAAACGGUAGCUAAUACCGCAUAAUGUCGCAAGACCAAAGUGGGGGACCUUCGGGCCUCAUGCCAUCAGAUGUGCCCAGAUGGGAUUAGCUAGUAGGUGGGGUAACGGCUCACCUAGGCGACGAUCCCUAGCUGGUCUGAGAGGAUGACCAGCCACACUGGAACUGAGACACGGUCCAGACUCCUACGGGAGGGCAGCAGUGGGGAAUAUUGCACAAUGGGCGCAAGCCUGAUGCAGCCAUGCCGCGUGUGUGAAGAAGGCCUUCGGGUUGUAAAGCACUUUCAGCGGGGAGGAAGGCGGUGAGGUUAAUAACCUCAUCGAUUGACGUUACCCGCAGAAGAAGCACCGGCUAACUCCGUGCCAGCAGCCGCGGUAAUACGGAGGGUGCAAGCGUUAAUCGGAAUUACUGGGCGUAAAGCGCACGCAGGCGGUCUGUCAAGUCGGAUGUGAAAUCCCCGGGCUCAACCUGGGAACUGCAUUCGAAACUGGCAGGCUAGAGUCUUGUAGAGGGGGGUAGAAUUCCAGGUGUAGCGGUGAAAUGCGUAGAGAUCUGGAGGAAUACCGGUGGCGAAGGCGGCCCCCUGGACAAAGACUGACGCUCAGGUGCGAAAGCGUGGGGAGCAAACAGGAUUAGAUACCCUGGUAGUCCACGCUGUAAACGAUGUCGAUUUGGAGGUUGUGCCCUUGAGGCGUGGCUUCCGGAGCUAACGCGUUAAAUCGACCGCCUGGGGAGUACGGCCGCAAGGUUAAAACUCAAAUGAAUUGACGGGGGCCCGCACAAGCGGUGGAGCAUGUGGUUUAAUUCGAUGCAACGCGAAGAACCUUACCUGGUCUUGACAUCCACAGAACUUUCCAGAGAUGGAUUGGUGCCUUCGGGAACUGUGAGACAGGUGCUGCAUGGCUGUCGUCAGCUCGUGUUGUGAAAUGUUGGGUUAAGUCCCGCAACGAGCGCAACCCUUAUCCUUUGUUGCCAGCGGUCCGGCCGGGAACUCAAAGGAGACUGCCAGUGAUAAACUGGAGGAAGGUGGGGAUGACGUCAAGUCAUCAUGGCCCUUACGACCAGGGCUACACACGUGCUACAAUGGCAUAUACAAAGAGAAGCGACCUCGCGAGAGCAAGCGGACCUCAUAAAGUAUGUCGUAGUCCGGAUUGGAGUCUGCAACUCGACUCCAUGAAGUCGGAAUCGCUAGUAAUCGUAGAUCAGAAUGCUACGGUGAAUACGUUCCCGGGCCUUGUACACACCGCCCGUCACACCAUGGGAGUGGGUUGCAAAAGAAGUAGGUAGCUUAACCUUCGGGAGGGCGCUUACCACUUUGUGAUUCAUGACUGGGGUGAAGUCGUAACAAGGUAACCGUAGGGGAACCUGCGGUUGGAUCACCU